rnacentral:rRNA from 1 species
AAUCAACGCUGGCGGCGUGCCUAACACAUGCAAGUCGAACGCGAAAGUCCCGCAAGGGAUUAGUAGAGUGGCAAACGGGUGAGUAACACGUGGGUGACCUGCCUUCGAGUGGGGGAUAACGUCCCGAAAGGGACGCUAAUACCGCAUAACAUCCUGCCUUUUAAGAGGUGGAGAUCAAAGCUGGGGACCGUAAGGCCUGGCGCUGGAAGAGGGGCCCGCGUCUGAUUAGCUAGUUGGUGAGGAACGGCUCACCAAGGCAACGAUCAGUAUCCGGCCUGAGAGGGCGGACGGACACACUGGGACUGAGACACGGCCAGACUCCUACGGGAGGCAGCAGUGGGGAAUUGUUCGCAAUGGGCGCAAGCCUGACGACGCAACGCCGCGUGGAGGAUGAA